UACGAAGGGGCUAGCGUUGCUCGGAUUGACUGGGCGUAAAGGGCGCGUAGGCGGUUCGUACAGUCAGACGUGAAAUUCCUGGGCUCAACCUGGGGCUGCGUUUGAUACGUGCGGACUUGAGUGCGGAAGAGGGUCGUGGAAUUCCCAGUGUAGAGGUGAAAUUCGUAGAUAUUGGGAAGACCACCAGUGGCGAAGGCGGCUUGCCAGAACGCGCUCGACGGUGAGGGAUGAAAGCUGGGGGAGCAAACCGG
rnacentral:rRNA from 1 species